CCUACGGGGGGCAGCAGUGGGGAAUAUUGGACAAUGGGCGCAAGCCUGAUCCAGCCAUGCCGCGUGUGUGAAGAAGGCCUUCUGGUUGUAAAGCACUUUCAGCGAGGAGGCGUUACUCGCAGAAGAAGCACCGGCUAACUCUGUGCCAGCAGCCGCGGUAAUACAGAGGGUGCAAGCGUUAAUCGGAAUUACUGGGCGUAAAGCGCACGUAGGCGGUUUUUUAAGUCAGAUGUGAAAGCCCCGGGCUCAACCUGGGAAUUGCAUUUGAAACUGGGAAACUAGAGUGUGUGAGAGGGGGGUAGAAUUCCAAGUGUAGCGGUGAAAUGCGUAGAGAUUUGGAGGAAUACCAGUGGCGAAGGCGGCCCCCUGCCAACACUGACGCUCAGGUGCGAAAGCGUGGGGAGCAAACAGGAUUAGAUACCCUUGUAGUC
rnacentral:rRNA from 1 species